AUCUAGAUAACGAGUCCCAAAUAGGACGAAAUGCGCGUCGCGGAU
rnacentral:hammerhead_ribozyme from 1 species